UACGCAGGGUGCGAGCGUUGUCCGGAAUUACUGGGCGUAAAGAGCUCGUAGGCGGUUUGUCGCGUUGUUCGUGAAAACUCACAGCUUAACUGUGGGCGUGCGGGCGAUACGGGCAGACUGGAGUACUGCAGGGGAGACUGGAAUUCCUGGUGUAGCGGUGGAAUGCGCAGAUAUCAGGAGGAACACCGGUGGCGAAGGCGGGUCUCUGGGCAGUAACUGACGCUGAGGAGCGAAAGCGUGGGGAGCGAACAGG
rnacentral:rRNA from 1 species